rnacentral:tRNA from 1 species
GAUAAGUUUUUUUAGUCUUCUAAACUGAUUAUGAGGUUAUUCUCACUUAUUU